CAUGCAAGUCGAACGAGAAAGCGGGGGCAACCUCGUGAGUAAAGUGGCGUACGGGUGAGUAACACGUGGGUAAUCUACCUCUUAGUGGGGAAUAACGCUGGGAAACCGGCGCUAAUACCGCAUAAGCUCGAGAGAGGAAAGUCGAAAGACGCUGAGAGAGGAGCCCGCGGUCGAUUAGCUAGUUGGUGAGGUAAGAGCUCACCAAGGCAAAGAUCGAUAGCCGGCCUGAGAGGGCACACGGCCACACUGGCACUGGGACACGGGCCAGACUCCUACGGGAGGCAGCAGUGGGGAAUCUUGCACAAUGGGGGCAACCCUGAUGCAGCGACGCCGCGUGAACGAUGAAGCCCUUCGGGGUGUAAAGUUCUUUCGGCAGGGACGAUAAUGACGGCACCUGCAGAAGCAGCUGCGGCUAACUACGUGCCAGCAGCCGCGGUAAUACGUAGGCAGCGAGCGUUGUUCGGAGUUACUGGGCGUAAAGGGUGUGUAGGCGGUUCUUUAAGUUUGGUGUGAAAUCUCCCGGCUCAACCGGGAGGGUGCGCCGAAUACUGAGGGACUUGGAGUAUGGGAUGGGAAAGUGGAAUUCCUGGUGUAGCGGUGAAAUGCGUAGAUAUCAGGAGGAACACCUGUGGUGUAGACGGCUUUCUGGACCAUAACUGACGCUGAGACACGAAAGCGUGGGUAGCAAACAGGAUUAGAUACCCUGGUAGUCCACGCCCUAAACGAUGCAUAUUUGGUAUGGGUGGUUCAUUCUAUCCGUGCCGGAGCUAACGCGUUAAAUAUGCCGCCUGGGGAGUACAGUCGCAAGGCUGAAACUCAAAGGAAUUGACGGGGGCCCGCACAAGCGGUGGAGCAUGUGGUUCAAUUCGACGCAACGCGAAGAACCUUACCUGGGCUCGAACGGCUGGUCAACGGCAGUGGAAACAUUGCUA
rnacentral:rRNA from 1 species